CCUGUGGUUUUACUAAUGACGUCAUCGGCGAUUAGUCAGCGUCACCUCGAAUCUCAUAACUGUCGUUUUUAAAAAAAUCUUGCCAUGCAACUCCUAUUGCAUAGUUUCGAUUACGGCGAACCAUGUUUCCCUGCGUGCAGUACAGACAGUCUCCAGGUCACCGAGUUCCGUUCCCUAGAUUUCAAGUCUGAAUCUUCAAGUGGAAUUUGGCAGCACCCCAUCCCCCCCUCAUUGGCUCCACCCGGUCACAGGUAGACACCCACGUGCAGGCACAGCUGGGGCUGUCAACUGUGCAAAGCAGCUAACCAGCAGCAAUCAGAGCAGAAGCUCAGCCCUAUAAGAC